rnacentral:lncRNA from 1 species
CGCUGGGCCCCGCCUGUCUGCGCCGGAGAGCAGGUUGCUUGUCUGGAGAUGGAGCCACUACAGGCGGGCCUGGGCGCCUGGAGUCGGGCAUGAAAGAAAAUAGCGCCUCAUCGCUCUUAUCUAAGCCCAGAGGUCCAGGGGACAACCUGAGGGCCCUGAAGUGUUUCAAUACCAUGUACCAGCUUGACUUCUCUACAUGUCCUUUGGAUUGCCCAAAAGCAAAAUCUCAGAGGGGCCAAGGACCUUCUAGGGCUGGCUCCCUCAGGGCCUCCUAUAGAGCAGCUCCUUGAGUCGGGCCUUAUAGCCACCAGAAAGUCACCUCGCCGCAGGAAAGCUAUAAAGAGCUGCUCCAGAGGCGCCGAAAGAGGGUAGACUUCGCUUGAAAAGAUCGAGAAUGGAGGAGGGGAUCGGCACUCACUUGCAGACAUCAACAGUUUCCAGAAAAUUCGGUUCAAUUCCUUCACCACGGACCCACCAACCAAGGAGCUGGCAAAACCCACUAACCAACCAGGAGAACACAGACCCGGUUUGUCUUUUGACAACCGAGUGGAACUGACGGGGCCGGCGCCUGCCCUGCGGGUCCCCUCCCUUGGCUGAGAAGAAAACCAAAUAAACCUUGAACAGCCUUGGCUUCGGAUGUCUCAAGCGGCCUCAUCCUCUCCCGCGCCUUGGUGGGGUGGGGGUGGGGAUGGCGGUGGGGGUGUCGGCUCUGAUCCCUCCACCCUUUGAUUCAGGGCCCCUGCCCGCUGGAAGCAGAAUUAGACCUUUUUAUAUAUGCCCUAGAGGAAGCCGCUUCCCUUGCCAGCCGCCAGGUUUGGGGCUAGGAUGGGCGGGGACGGGGGCAGUGGGAAAUUGGGGAUGAUGGGUGGAGGAGAGACUUCUG